UACGUAGGGUGCGAGCGUUGUCCGGAAUUAUUGGGCGUAAAGAGCUUGUAGGCGGUUUGUCGCGUCUGCCGUGAAAAUCCGGGGCUCACCCCGGACUUGCGGUGGGUACGGGCAGACUAGAGUGUGGUAGGGGAGACUGGAAUUCCUGGUGUAGCGGUGAAAUGCGCAGAUAUCAGGAGGAACACCGAUGGCGAAGGCAGGUCUCUGGGCCACUACUGACGCUGAGAAGCGAAAGCGUGGGGAGCGAACAGG
rnacentral:rRNA from 1 species